AACACAGCCUCUCUGUAAUGUUUAUGCAAAUCUGCAUCUUCUCUUGUAAUAUUAGCAGCGUUCUGAUCUAGAGAGGAAACACUUCUCAUUAGUCUUCCUUCAACACAAACAUGUUUGCUUCAGCUCCACUGCUGCUGCUGGCUCUCGCCCCCUAUGUGUUCUGUGCUACUGAGCUCAUCCAGCCAGACUCACUGCUUAUAAAGCCAGGAGAGACUUUAACCAUCACCUGUAAAGUGUCUGGAGCUUCUAUCACUGAUAGCAGCAGCCACUAUGGAACAGCUUGGAUUCGACAACCUGCAGGAAAAGCUUUAGAAUGGAUCAACACCAUUUAUUAUAGUGGGAGUAUUGAUAAGAAAGAUUCACUUAAAGACAAGUUUGUGGUCUCUCGAGACACUUCCAGUAACUCUGUGACCUUACGGGGACAGAACAUGCAGACUGAAGACACAGCUGUGUAUUACUGCGCUCGAAGACCACACAGUGACACAACAAGCUGCAGUGCUGCACAAAAACCUCAUCACAAUUCACUUCUUUAAUUAAAUAAUAACUAC